GACGAACGCUGGCGGCGUGCUUAACACAUGCAAGUCGAACGGAAAGGCCUGCUUUCCCUUGUGGAUUGCGGGUACUCGAGUGGCGAACGGGUGAGUAACACGUGAGUGAUCUGCCCCCAACUUGGGUAUAAGCCUGGGAAACUGGGUCUAAUUCCCGAUAGGACUGCAGGGUGGUGCCUGUGGUGGAAAACGAUUUUCUAGUGGUUGGGGAUGAGCUCGCGGCCUAUCAGCUUGUUGGUGGGGUAAUGGCCUACCAAGGCGGCGACGGGUAGCCGGCCUGGGAGGGUGGACGGCCACAUUGGGACGGAGAUACGGCCCAGACUCCUACGGGAGGCAGCAGUGGGGAAUAUUACACAAUGGGCGGAAGCCUGAUGCAGCGACGCCGCGUGGGGGAUGACGGCCUUCGGGUUGUAAACUCCUUUCGACCGCGAGGAAGCCACCUGGUUGGAAGGGUGGUGACGGUAGUGGUAGAAGAAGCACCGGCUAACUACGUG
rnacentral:rRNA from 1 species